rnacentral:rRNA from 1 species
CCUACGGGCGGCAGCAGUGGGGGAUAUUGGACAAUGGGGGAAACCCUGAUCCAGCGACGCCGCGUGAGUGAAGAAGUAUUUCGGUAUGUAAAGCUCUAUCAGCAGGGAAGAAAGAAAUGACGGUACCUGAAUAAGAAGCCCCGGCUAACUACGUGCCAGCAGCCGCGGUAAUACGUAGGGGGCAAGCGUUAUCCGGAAUUACUGGGUGUAAAGGGAGCGUAGACGGUAAUGCAAGUCUGGAGUGAAAGGCGGGGGCCCAACCCCCGGACUGCUCUGGAAACUGUGUAACUGGAGUGCAGGAGAGGCAGGCGGAAUUCCUAGUGUAGCGGUGAAAUGCGUAGAUAUUAGGAGGAACACCAGUGGCGAAGGCGGCCUGCUGGACUGUAACUGACGUUGAGGCUCGAAAGCGUGGGGAGCAAACAGGAUUAGAUACCCGAGUAGUC